UGUUUCAGCAGAGAGAGUGAAGGGCCCUGCGAUGCACUGGGCAUGGCCCCUGUCCGAGGCUCUUUUCACAUUGUGCUACUGUCUAAGCCCGACCCAAGCAGUGCAAUGUUAAAAGGGCAUUGGGUGGAUGGCCACAGCAGCACAAAAGCUCUGUACCUCCAUUGGUAAAGCUCAAGGGGUAGGCAUGGAGCCUUGUUGUAUAAGGCAAAAGGAUGUGUGAUGGAGAAAAAUGAUAGUUCCCUCUCCCCCCCUCCCUAUACACACACACACACAACAGUAGCAAAAAGUGGGCUCCUGUGACACCUCAAGCAGUAUAUCCACCGCACCUCUUACAUGUUCAAUGUCAACUGCUGGAUUUGGAUAGUUCACAAGCCAAUGGGGUAUGGUACUUGAAGGGUUGGUUCAAUCCUUGCAAGUUACCUUUGUCACUUCUGUUUCUGAGGCCAUUGCAGCAAUCUACCACCAAAUAAAUGUUACUAUGUUGACCCUUGGGUGCGUCUUCUGUUCUUCUAGACUUGGCUGACUGUUGGUAAAUGCUAAAGCCUGUGGAAAGGAAGCUCUGACUUUCUAGAUGUCAGAAAGAAGAUAUGGGCAUCUGUGUUAGCAGAAAGGAGAGGAGCAUAAGAAGCUGCCUUAUACUGAACCAGACCACCGCUUCAUCCAGAUCAACAUUGUCAGCUUUGACUGGCAGCAAUUAUGACAGGGCCUUGGGUAGAGGUGACUUCUUAAUGAAAAGUUCUCAGCAACAGAAACAUUUACAUGUUUGGUUAAGGAAAACCAGAACACCUCAAUUAUUUGUUU